AGACUUGAGUGCAGAAGAGGACAGUGGAACUCCAUGUGUAGCGGUGAAAUGCGUAGAUAUAUGGAAGAACACCAGUGGCGAAGGCGGCUGUCUGGUCUGUAACUGACGCUGAGGCUCGAAAGCAUGGGUAGCGAACAGGAUUAGAUACCCUGGUAGUCCAUGCCGUAAACGAUGAGUGCUAAGUGUUGGAGGGUUUCCGCCCUUCAGUGCUGCAGCUAACGCAUUAAGCACUCCGCCUGGGGAGUACGACCGCAAGGUUGAAACUCAAAGGAAUUGACGGGGGCCCGCACAAGCGGUGGAGCAUGUGGUUUAAUUCGAUGCUACGCGAAGAACCUUACCAGGUCUUGACAUCUUCUGCCAACCUAAGAGAUUAGGCGUUCCCUUCGGGGACAGAAUGACAGGUGGUGCAUGGUUGUCGUCAGCUCGUGUCGUGAGAUGUUGGGUUAAGUCCCGCAACGAGCGCAACCCUUAUUGUUAGUUGCCAGCAUUCAGUUGGGCACUCUAGCAAGACUGCCGGUGACAAACCGGAGGAAGGUGGGGAUGACGUCAAAUCAUCAUGCCCCUUAUGACCUGGGCUACACACGUGCUACAAUGGACGGUACAACGAGUCGCGAAACCGCGAGGUCAAGCUAAUCUCUUAAAGCCGUUCUCAGUUCGGAUUGCAGGCUGCAACUCGCCUGCAUGAAGUUGGAAUCGCUAGUAAUCGUGGAUCAGCAUGCCACGGUGAAUACGUUCCCGGGCCUUGUACACACCGCCCGUCACACCAUGAGAGUUUGUAACACCCAAAGCCGGUGAGGUAACCUUCGGGGACCAGCCGUCUAAGGUGGGACAGAUGAUUAGGGUGAAGUCGUAACAAGGUAGCCGUAGGAGAACCUGCGGCUG
rnacentral:rRNA from 1 species